UUUCUAUUUACGGUGCACUUUUCACUAUCGGUCAUGGAGCACAUCAUGAUUUCAGACUGGGCGAAUCAUCCACUGCCUCACCUGUUUGUAGACUGAAGCAGGCUAAGCGAGGUGCACUCCUUGAAGUCUUUGAAUCCAAAGUUGUCCGUGUCAAUGGGAAAUAUUUGGACAAGGCUGCCAAGAUUACCUUGAAUGGAGGAGAUGAAAUUAUCUUCCGUUCACCAGUGAGGCAUGCUUAUAUAUUUGAGCAACUUCAUCAGGAGAAAUCAAGCACUCC